GGGUCCAGACAGAGAACUGGUUUUUCUUGUUAAAAAAAACAAAGAAAGAAAAGGCUGGUUCUCACAUGCCAUUCUCUGCUCUGGUGUUAGGACAGCCAGAGCCCUGUCCACCAUACUUACCAAAAUGGAAGCUUUUCAAAGAGGUAAGAGGUAAUUUUGAUGCAGCAGUUAGGAAGGUAUUGAAACAAACAAGCAAAAAAAGCAGCACAGAAUGGGACUAUUCUGUGGAAUUCAAUGCUAAUUUCUGGUACAGUUUCAAUUCUCAACUACUGUACACUCGGCUUCACUACUUGAAAUCCAAAAACUGCACCCACAACAAGCCCAAAUAGUAAUUCCUACUUAAGGCACCACCUUCCUUCCUUGCCCCCCCGUGCCCUCACUCAAAAGAAGAAAAGUGGCAUCUUCUCUGUUCCUCAAUGCUUGCUUGCUUCAUCACUACAACCACACACACUCUCUCUCUCUCUCUCUGAGUAAGCCUUGCACUGUCCGAGGUCCGUGGACCCACGUACAUGUGCCCGCUGAUGAAACCCACGAGCGGGGCUCAAAUGAUCAAUGGCAGC